rnacentral:rRNA from 1 species
AGGCAGCAGUGGGGAAUAUUGCACAAUGGGCGCAAGCCUGAUGCAGCCAUGCCGCGUGUGUGAAGAAGGCCUUCGGGUUGUAAAGCACUUUCAGUCGUGAGGAAGGUAGUGCAGUUAAUAGCUGCAUUAUUUGACGUUAGCGACAGAAGAAGCACCGGCUAACUCCGUGCCAGCAGCCGCGGUAAUACGGAGGGUGCGAGCGUUAAUCGGAAUUACUGGGCGUAAAGCGCAUG